ensembl:lncRNA
AGGAUGUGUUAUUUUAGUGUUCCCUUUAUUUUUUUGAGCAGUGUAUAUUUUUUAUUCACAUUUUUCAAGGGGUGCUGUAGCACCCUCAGCACCCCUACUUCCCACUGCUAUGGGUAGGGGUUAAGGUUAGGGUAGGGACAUCCCAAGGAGGCAGGAUUGCACUGACCAUACAUUUGUCUUUCCAACUAUUCAGCCAAGUUUAUCACACAUGCUGCUACAUCAGCCUGGCCUUUCCUGCCUUUAGGUUUCCGUGUUUACUUUUAUCAUUGGAUCACAUUUUGUCAUUCUCUGACUACUUACUGGCUGCAGAGAAAAUCGAUCAAAACAAAAGCAAGCUAACCUAAAUAUGGCACCAAAUAAUCAGACAAUUAGAAACUACUCAGGUCCUAGAGGUAUUUAAAAAGGUACUUUCAACGUGAGUGAAUUUGCUAUGAUAUUACUUGCCACUGUUUUUGCUGUUUCCGAAAACUAGCUAACCAUGUCUGAUCUGAACAAUCACCCAAGACUAUAGUACGAGCCUAUUAACUAAUUCACCUAUUUCAUGAUUAAUAUGCCACUGCAGUGGAGCGAUGAUCAACUGCAUGUGUUUUAUGAAAAUGAAGUGAAAACGAAUGUGGACCUCUCCAUUUCUACAAAACGGCUUUAAGGUGGUAAGGAGGUCCAGAACAGACAUAUUUCAACACCCAGACUUCUGUAGUCACAGAGAUGAGAGAAGUUGACAAGGAAUUGUCCAGCUGCGCGUGGAAGGUCCCUUGUGAAGAGAGAAACAGCUGAGAGCACAAAGCCCCCUGGACAUGCGAUGACAACAAUUGAAAAGGACAGCAACAGACCUAUGCAACUACAUCAACUUCAGCAUUCCAGAGCCAGAAAUUCAGCCUCAAGUUUCCCUCCCUCCCUCCUCGGAAUCAUUUAGCUACCUGUGAAACUCAAGACUGCAUGAAAGUGUUUGAUAAGAACACCACAAUGGUAGCCUCUGCCAUGUCCCAAACAACCGGAUGUUCCAGUUUCUUUUAUGCCUGCUACGUUAUGUUACCACAACGGAAAUCCAGAAGCACAUUCUAACAGAGUUGAGAAUUAGUCUAACAAGACAAUUUGGUGUAAGGCUCAUUUAGUUGUGCAAUAUUCUAGCCCUGGAUUCACUAGUAGAGCCGAUAUACAAUGCAACUCUUAUUUGAUGAGACAGCAGCCUAACAAUUUACUGAUUAUUUCAGGAUCAAGAUGAUGUGUCGAAGGAAGCUCUCUAAAGGACAAGAUCCUUUAAUCUCUGCAAUAUUAACAUGCUGCGUCCUCUCUCCACACAUCCCACCCCCCAAGUCACUUCUGACUAACCCCUCAACUUCUUGAAUUACUG